rnacentral:misc_RNA from 1 species
CACCAAUCAAGCCUGGCUUGGUAUUGGGCCACGGGGCAACCCGGGCCUCAAAAAGUCCGCCGGCUGGAAAGCUCUGAUCUCAGCGUUGUGGUUAAUCAAUUCGCGAGGAGAGGGGCGGUCCACGCCGUGAAAUCUAUCACA